UCUUUGUGCUCAUCAAUAAUUUUAAAAUUUAUUCUAUCUUUUAUCCAUAUUGCUACUCCGCGUGAAUUACUUGUACCAUCACUUCUGAAAAUGUUUUUACCAAGUUCUUUAGACAAAGUAUCUUGCAUUUGUUUAGUAAAAUGAGUUUCCUGUAUAAAAGUUAUAUCACAUUUUUGUUGAUUUGCCCAACUUACUAUUUUAUUAUUUUUUCAGGUUGCUGUAGCCAUUAGCAUUGACCGUACAAAUAUGCAAAUAGUUUUUCAUGGUGGUUUAUAGUUGGAUAUUUUAAAUUUCAUACAAUAGCAUGGUGAGUUAUCUUUCUUACCAUUAAUAAUGAAGCAUUUAGUAUUGGUUUUCUUUAUUGUUAUUUUGUUAUUUCUUUUGACUGACUUAAAACUAAAUUCUUUUAGUCUUGUUUCUGUACAAGAAGAGUUAUUUAUAGGGCAGUUUACAUACUGAUAUAGCAUUUGUUUUACCUGAGAAAUACCGUUAUACGCCUCACUGAUUGCGAUUGGUUUUUCAGAUCGUGGGUAUUUAAACGAUGAAUUUAGGUCUGUGUUUGUUUUUUUCUCAAGUAAUACCGGUUUGUUUACUAUCUCUAUGUUUAUAGUCGGUGUAUUCCUGAUUAAUAUUUUUAGUAGUUUAUUUUCCCGUACCGUAAAAUGUAUUAUUUUAUCGAUCUUUUCCAUAAUUAGCAUUAAUAACCUAUUCUCAUGAUGAUUAUAUUCGUCAAGUAUAUGGUGUUUAUUUUGGAAUAGGUUUAGACUUUCGCUGUCCAGGUACGCUUGCUCUCUACUUUUAGUUUUGUACGUUCUAUAUUUUGACCUCAACGUUAAAGUAUUUAUAGAAUUUCUGGUCAAGGUUAUUUCAUCCGCUUUUGUUGGGGACUUUUUAAGAUGGAUUAAUAUGUUUUCUCGAUCAGGAUGUUUAGUAGCAGAUGGUAAAUACUUUAAUUUAAUAUUAUAGUAACAUGACAUAAGUAUUAUCAUCGACAUGACUAGAUUCUCUAGUACACAAUAAAAAAAAUUUGCCACUUUAUUAAAUACACAUACAGUAAUGUACUUUUUCUUUUUAUUUGUCUUUUUCUUUUUCAGGAUAAAACUUUCAUGAAGAACAGACCAUUUCUGAUCUUCAUUAUUGGAAUUGAUUAGACUAUCUGUCAGUCUGGAUAUUUUAAGUGGACAACCUUCAUCAGCUGUGUCACAUAACAACAAACAUUUUGAGACAUAUCUCGAAUAAUAUAUACAGUUAAAAAUAAAUGAAAUCAGUGCUAUACAUACUGUUUUGUGAAAAAUAUGAUUGACAAAAUGCAUUUUUUUUUUUUUUUAUAAUUUAAAAUAAAAGAGUUCUAGUCUUA
rnacentral:lncRNA from 1 species